GCUGUGAGGGCCGAGCGGUUAAGGCGUUGGACUCGAAAUCCAAUUGGGUUUCCCUGCGCAGGUUCAAAUCCUGCUCACAGCG
rnacentral:tRNA from 1 species